ensembl:snRNA U6 U6 spliceosomal RNA
GUACUCGCUGCAGUUGGCACAUAUACUAAAAUUGGAAUGAUACGGAGAAGAUUAGUAUGGCCCCUGUGCAAGGAUGACACAAAUUAGUGAAACGUUCCAUAAUGAA